rnacentral:misc_RNA from 1 species
GAAAUGCGAUAAGUAAUGUGAAUUGCAGAAUUCAGUGAAUCAUCGAAUCUUUGAACGCACCUUGCGCUCCUUGGUAUUCCGAGGAGCAUGCCUGUUUGAGUGUCAUGGAAUUCUCAACUCUAUUUGCUUUUGUGAAUAGAGCUUGGAUUUGGAGGUUUAUUGCUGGUACUUGUGAUCGGCUCCUCUUGAAUGCAUUAGCUCGAACCUUUGCGGAUCAGCUAUCGGUGUGAUAAUUGUCUACGCCGUUGCAGUGAAGCAUAUCAAUGGGCUCGGCUUCCAAUCGUCAUUUACUGGACAAUGACUUUGACCUUUGACCUCAAAUCAGGUAGGAUUACCCGCUGAACUUAAGC